GGCGGCAGGCCUAACACAUGCAAGUCGAGCGGUAGAGAGAAGCUUGCUUCUCUUGAGAGCGGCGGACGGGUGAGUAAUGCCUAGGAAUCUGCCUGGUAGUGGGGGAUAACGUUCGGAAACGGACGCUAAUACCGCAUACGUCCUACGGGAGAAAGCAGGGGACCUUCGGGCCUUGCGCUAUCAGAUGAGCCUAGGUCGGAUUAGCUAGUUGGUGAGGUAAUGGCUCACCAAGGCAACGAUCCGUAACUGGUCUGAGAGGAUGAUCAGUCACACUGGAACUGAGACACGGUCCAGACUCCUACGGGAGGCAGCAGUGGGGAAUAUUGGACAAUGGGCGAAAGCCUGAUCCAGCCAUGCCGCGUGUGUGAAGAAGGUCUUCGGAUUGUAAAGCACUUUAAGUUGGGAGGAAGGGCAGUUACCUAAUACGUGAUUGUUUUGACGUUACCGACAGAAUAAGCACCGGCUAACUCUGUGCCAGCAGCCGCGGUAAUACAGAGGGUGCAAGCGUUAAUCGGAAUUACUGGGCGUAAAGCGCGCGUAGGUGGUUAGUUAAGUUGGAUGUGAAAUCCCCGGGCUCAACCUGGGAACUGCAUUCAAAACUGACUGACUAGAGUAUGGUAGAGGGUGGGUGGAAUUUCCUGUGUAGCGGUGAAAUGCGUAGAUAUAGGAAGGAACACCAGUGGCGAAGGCGACCACCUGGACUGAUACUGACACUGAGGUGCGAAAGCGUGGGGAGCAAACAGGAUUAGAUACCCUGGUAGUCCACGCCGUAAACGAUGUCAACUAGCCGUUGGGAGCCUUGAGCUCUUAGUGGCGCAGCUAACGCAUUAAGUUGACCGCCUGGGGAGUACGGCCGCAAGGUUAAA
rnacentral:rRNA from 1 species